ensembl:lncRNA
CCACAUUGCAGGUGGAUUCUUUACCAACUGAGCCACAAGGGAAGCCCAAGCCACCUGGGAAGCCCCGAGCAAUAGUAAAUACAACCACAAUUGAGUCAGCAUAUGAAACAAUCAGAUAUUCUAUUUAGCAGAAAUGGUUAGUUAUCAUAUGUAAAUAAACAAAAAUAUUUCAUUUAGCAUGUAUUUAUAUGAUCUAUAUUAUAUCUAUAUCUGGCUGUAUUAUUCAUUAUAGAUAGAUUCACUACAAGUAACAUGUAAAAUCCUUUAAUUACGAUGAUCUAUUUAAUCAAGGCUUUCACGAAGGGCCUUGGCUUUCAUUUUCCUUUCUUUGCAUAUUAAAUCGGCUUUUCAUUUCCACAAUCUUUGCAGUAAGGGCAGGUGAUUUGAUGAACCCAACCCCUGAAGUACACCCUCAAAACCCACUAGAAGAGCUUGGAAAGAGACAAGAGAAACAGAAUGAUUUCUGCUGGUUUAUCCAUGCAGUGAGCAAAGAGUGGUCAGGAAAGGAAACAGAAGUAGAAGAUAAGAUUCUGCGGCUCCAUCUCAUAGCCAGAGUUCAUUUCCUUAUUUUCUACACCUCCUCUGACAAAUCCUAAGAAAAGAAUUCCUGUGACUAAAUGUCUCCCAAUUACUAAUAACAGAAACUUCCUACAGAAUGUCUCACUGACAGAUUAAACACACAAGCUUCUAGUCUACUGUAAGCCAUGGAUAAGAACACUAGAAAGUUACCUUGAAACAAAGCCUAUUAAAAUGUAAUUUAAGCUGUAAUCAGAAAGAAGCAUAAAAAAUACAAUAAAGAUCAUAAAUUGUACAAUUUUUAUGAAAAUUUCUCUCUUUUUAAGCACCUGAGUUUUAAAAAUGAUUAUACUUCUUGACAUAUUAACUACUACUGAAAAUUUAUUUUGGAACAGUUUUAAAUACAGAAAAAAACAUUAUCCAAAAAUAUAUUUGGUUAAACAUUAAAGCAAUCUAAAUGUCUGCAGCAGACAUUUUGAAGGACCUAAGAAAUACAUUAAGGCUUCCCUGGUGGCUCAGACAGUAGAGUCUGUCUGCAGUGCGGGAGACUAGGUUCAAUCCCUGGGUCGGGAAGAUCCCCUGGAGAAGGUAAUGCUAACCCACUCCAUUCUUGCCUGGAAAAACUGCUCCUCAGUCCAUGGGGUUGCAAAGUCAGACAUGACUGAAAUACAUUAUACUUUCUGUUUAAAAAACAGCAACAUAUUUUUAUUUUCAUAAAAAUUUAAAUGCAUGACAUUUUUAAAAAGUUAAUAAAUACACCCUAAAGAAGGUAAGGUGUUAAUGUUGGUUGUGGGAUUUACUAAUUAUUUUCUUUUCCUCUGGUACUUACCUACUUUCUCCAAAUUUUCUGCGACAAAAGUAUUUACCUAUGUAUCUAUUAAUAGAUACAACUGUAUUCUCAGUUUAUAAAUAUUAUGUUUAAGAUUUUAAUGAUGAGGAAAAUACAAUAUGAUUUCAGCAAUCUAAAGAUGCAUGUUACGUAUAUAUUUUUAAAACUCUGAAGAAAAUACACCAUAUAUUGAUACUGCUUAAUGAAUUUAUGGGUGAUUUUAACUUUUUUAUUUUGGAUUGUAUUUUCUAAUUUUCCAUAUUAAUCAUUGUUGGUUAGAUAGCAUCACUGACUCAAUAGACAUGAACUUGAGAAAACUCCAGGAGACAGUGAAGGAAGGA